AUUUAAAUAGCUUAAGAAAAGCAAAGUUUUGAAGCAACUUAGAUGAUUUUAUAUCUUUAAAUA
rnacentral:tRNA from 1 species